GACAACUCGCGGGGAUUGUUUUCCACACUGUGGAAGCUUUGUUCUUUUCGUUUUUUGCAAUAAAUCUUGUUGCUGCUCGCUUUUUGGGUCCACAUUGCUUUCAUGAGCUGUACCACUCACCGUGAAGAUCUGCAGCUUCACUUCAGAGCCUAGCGAGACCACGAGCUCACUGAAAACAAACAACUCCAGACGCGCUGUCUUAAGAGCUAUAACACUCACCGCGAAGGUGUGCAGUUUCACUCCUGAGCUAGUGAGACUACGAAGCCACUGGAACGAAGAAACUCCAACCACGUUUGAACAUCAGAAGGGGCAGACUCCAGACACUUCAUCUUAAGAGCUGUAACACUCACUGUGAAGGUCUGCAGCUUCACUCCUGAGCCAGCGAGACCACGAACCGAUCUGAACAUCAGAAGGGACAGACUCCAGAUGCCCCACCUUAAGAGCUGUAAUACUCACUGCAAGGGUCUGCAGCUUCAUUCUUGAAGUCAGACCAAGAACCCAGCAAUUCCCAACACACAGGGACCAGCUUCUUUCCUAACUCACUUAGGCUCUUCGUGCUGCUCUGGCAACUAACACCCUUGGCUGCAGGGGCUUGGACACUACCCUUAGUCACUGACAAUUGUGUGAAGGCUGCUGUCGUUAACUUCACUUGAUCACCUUAGGCUCCUGUGAAGUGGUGAGCAAUUCAAACAAAUUCCUGUCGUCAAAUCAUGAGUCCACCUGUCCCGAGUUGGAAGUCUGAACUCAUGUUCCUGGAUUCCUCCCAUGCAUCUUGGUGCUGGUGUGGGGCCUGAACUCAGCCAAUCCGCAACACCUCCAGGAGUCUUCCUCUUAGAUGCUGAGGCCACGGAGAAGGAAGCAGCACAAAGAAUGAACCCUGGAGAGGGUGCCAGAGGCAGGCGGGUUCCAGCCAUGUGGCGGCACAGCCUUACUGGGAUAGUCUAGCUGUGUCACUCAGGAUAUACAUCUUUCCACACCAAUAGACCUUGUUUUCCGAUGUAGCAUUAUUUUUCAUAGUUGGCGAAUAUACAGUUAUGGAUUCAUAACAGCAAGAUGGAGAAAUUGCACUGCAGAGAAAUCUUUAAAAGCAAUUACCUAAUACUGCAGAUUGCUGAACUGUACCCACACCCAAGACUGAGCAUUGGAUCAAUCCAGAAUAUACAUCAGGUGUUCUGCAAUGUCUGCCUAAAACCAUGACUCUGCCUCCUCCAGCUGUUGCUACAUCUCACUAUGGGUUUCCUGUGACAUUUUGAGCAAGUAUGCCUCUGUGACUGGGGUUCUUACACUCCAGAAUGGAUGAGAAGCACCGUAAGUGGCUUUUAAAAUGAAUAUUCCCUGGCCCUUCAGUCGCUCUAUAGGUCAAGAAUCUGAAUUCUCAACCUGUCUAGAAGGUUCUGGUUUUAAUGGUCUGUGGGCUGCACAUUGAGAAACCUGUUCAGCGAGUGCAACAAAGGUUCCACAUGUGAGAAAGGAAGCAUCAGGUCUCUUGAGCCUGUUCUUUAAUCUGUAGGCUGCACCUUCUCUUUAAAUUCUGCUAAUAACACCAUGCGAGAAAACACCCGAGCUUGAAAAGCCCAUGUUCCAACAUAACUGUCCUUCACCACUCUGGAAAAUUAAUGGUUUGUUUCGAUUAUCCCUUUGUUAAACUCCAAAGUCAAAGAGCUCUGAAAGGCAUACGGUUAUUUUAAGUUUCAGGUGAUUUCUGUUGCCAAAUAUUUUAAAAAUUUAAAAUUGCUACGUGACCUCUUAGUAGUACUAUUAGAUUUCCUGACAAUAAAAAUAAGUCUUUUGGUUUCACCAUUUAUAGUUAGUACAGCUAAUAUUAAGUAUAAUUUUAAAAGCCUUUUAUUUUCUCAGAAAGAAAAAAUAAUCAAAAUCUGCUCAGUGUGGUAUUGAAUAAUUAAAAACAAAAGAACAGUAUCUUCACAUUAG
rnacentral:sRNA from 1 species